GUGCUCACUUCAGCAGCACAUACACUAAAAUUGGAACGACACGGAGAAGAUUAGCAUGUUCUCUGCACAAGGAUGAUACGCAAAUUUGUGAAGCAUUGCAUAUUUUU